rnacentral:pre_miRNA from 1 species
UGUCGAUUUCUUUGUGUGGUAAUGGAAGGAAUUCUGUUCUGUAUAUUUAAUACAGAACAGAAUUCCUUCCAUUACCAUACAAAGAAAUCGACG